rnacentral:rRNA from 1 species
CCCUUCGAUAUCCUGGGCCGCACGCGCGCUACACUGAUCCACUCAACAAGUGCCUCCUCCACCGACAGGUGUGGGUAAUCUUUUGAAACUGGAUCGUGAUGGGGAUUGACGAUUGUAAUUUUUCGUCACCAACGAGGAAUUCCUAGUAAGCGCAAGUCAUCAGCUUGCAUUGAUUACGUCCCUGCCCUUUGUACACACCGCCCGUCGCUCCUACCGAUUGAGCGUUUCGAUCAGUUGUCAGGAUUGUCUUUCUUUCUUGGAGGAUGAGAAUUUCUGCUAGUCGCUGCGCUUAGAGGAAGGAGAANUCGUANCA